UGGAAAGGGAGGGAAGGAACUCAGGGGGUUUAGGGACAAGGAAAAGACAGCCUAGCCUGGGGGAACACCUGCGGGCUCCUGAGGCCUGGUAGAUGGAUUUAGAAGGACACAAAAGGGUCACUGGGCAGCUUUGCAGAGAGCUCAGCGUGGUGCUUGUCACUCCUCGUUUAUGUGGUUGCUCCAUUUACAUUCCCCCAGUGGUCCAGGCAGCUGCAGAGGCUGCUGGGUCUCUCUCACUGCUCGGGAACAAGGUGAAGUCAAAUGGAAAAGCUCUGAAGGAGAGGAGCAGGACAGCUUGGUGCACCAGUGGAGUGCAGGAAGGAAAGGAAAGAGAAUGAGAAAGCUGAGAGAAAAAAAGUCAUCAAGGAGAAAAAAAUGGAGGAAAAGCUAAUACACAGAAAAGGAGACAGACUCAAGAAAAAAGAAAAAGAAAAAGACAAAGAAACAGAGGGAAAAGGUAUCAUGCAUUUAAAAAGAUGGUGCUACAUGGUGUGUUGGAAGGCUAGUGACCUGUUAGGCACUUGGAAAAAUUUAUGCAGCUUCAAGGCUCAUCUCAAAAGCUAACUCUGAGGCCUUCUUGACCUUCCGAGCUGUGCCGGGUCUCUCCAUCCCCUGUGGGCUCAUUAGAACUUGGAUAUUCCUUUAAUGCAAACAACACAUGGAAAUAGAAUGGACAAUCAUUCCCAUUUAGUUGUCAGCUGUUCAAGGUCAAUACUUAUGCUCUGUUGAUCUCUCUAACCCUCUAGAUCUGGUGCCUGGCAUGCUGUAGCUACCAGUAAAUGAGGCAACAGUCUUCUGGAAGCUGCACUUCUAUUACACAUAUACUGAUGUUCACCAAGAAGAACACACCAAAAAGAUAAAUUUAGUUAACAUUGAGCCUGUGUAUAAAGAGACACACUGGAUAAAGGAUAUAAAUUUAGAUGUUAUAGCAUGGAGGAAGUAGGGGAGAGAGGAAAUGACGCUAAUUGAGCAACUAGUUUUUACCUGGUACAACACAAAGUCUUAAAUAUGUUAUCUAAUUCAGCCAUCAUCACAACCCCUGCAGGUAGGUAUUUAACUCCUUAGAUGGCUAUUGUAUUCUUUUCUCUACAGGCCCUAUUUUAGAUGAUAGACUCUGAUGGUGAACAAGAGAAGCAGAGAUCUCAUUGCUUGUUUAUACACAAUCUAGCAACUAUUCUACAGUUCAGACAGGACACGUGAAUUGACUGGCUUUACAUAGCUCCCAAAAAUUCACACACGAAUUGACUGGCUUUACAUAGCUCACAAAAUUGACUGACUUUACAUAGCUCACAAAAUCGACUAGGUUUACAUAGCUCAUUUAAGUCUGGCCUGUGUGGCUGUAAGGUCUACUCUCUUUAUGUAUUGUAGGUAACAUAUAUUCCAGAAGUAACCCAGGAAACUCUGAAAUUUUCAUUUUGCAACCAAGAAGGGCAUCCAGGAAAAGCUAGCAAUUCUGGAGCGUUCUGGGACCUCCAAAUAGUCUUUGGUGAUGUUUAACAGCCUCCGUAAUUUCAUCAGUUAGUGCUGGGUUCGGGAUGAGGCAUUACAUGGCGGAAGGCGAGGGAUGGUUCUCUGUCACUUUAAGUCCUAAAUUAUUUUCAGGUGUUUGUUUCGAGGCAGGACGGGGAGGCAGCCUGCCAUUUAGUGGAAAGGGUGGACAUGGCCUCCUUUAGACCUCUCAUCAGAGUUACUGUUUCGAGUAAUGAAGAAGCACGGGGAUUGAUUUGAUGCCUAAUGAAUAAUCAGCUGCCAUCAAUAAUUGUAAUCACUAAUCUGGUGCAAUUAGAGGCAAUUAUAAUAAAUGCAAUUUCCUCUCGUGCCACUAACGAACUACAGAAGUAUGAAUUGACUCAAGGGGGCUGGCAGUGAUUUAUGUGAUUGUGAGAUCAUGAAUCCCAUUAUCUUGGGAAAGACUCUUAAAGGGGCAGGGUCCUAUUCUGAUGUCACCGCUUCCUAAUGAGAAGCUAGAAAAUGCAAUUCUAGAGGUAAUGAGCACAGAGGCUACUGUAUUUCUCUCACAACUGGCUUUAGAUAAGGGCCUUGUGCAGAUUCAGCUGGGCUGCCAUGCAAAGGCCUGUUCCUUUAAGUUCUGUUUACUGUAGUGAUACACCUUUAAGUCUUGAAGAAUGAAGAUGAAAUAUUCCAAACUAUGCUGCACAAGAGGAUGUGAACAGAAACAUCUGGACGGAGAAGAUCUUUUUUAUAUUCAGCCAUGCCAAUUGACCUACUACCCUCUCCAUAGCCAAAGGAAUGCCCAAAUUUCCACAGAAAGGCAUUUUUAUGUAAGUUGAAUGGCCUUGGAGGUCGUCAGUAUCUUUAAAAAAUGCUUAAAUAGCUGGCUGGCCAUGGUGGCUCACACCUGUAAUCCCAAUACUUUAGGAGGCCGAGGCAGAUGAAUCAUGAGGUCAGGAGUUUGAGACCAGCCUGGCUGAUACGGUGAAACCCCAUCUCUACUAAGAAUACAAAACAACUAGCUGGCCAUGGUGGCAUGCGCCUGUAGUCCCAGCUACUUGGGAGGUUGAGGCAGGAGAAUCAGUUGAACUGAGGAGGCGGAUGUUGCAGUGAGCCAAGAUUAUGCCACUGCACUCCUUCCUGGGCAACAGAGGGAGACUCCGUCUCAAAAAAAAAAAAAAAAAAAAAAAAAAAACAAGCUUAAAUAGCUUUAAUUAUGUUAGUCCUGUUUUCAGAAAUGUUGAGUUGCUAUGCAUUUUCUAAUGAAUCAGCCAGAGCUUUUUAAGGGACUCCACAGCAUGUUCCCACAUUGUUGUGACAGGACCGUAGUGAGCAAGGAUGAGGUGGGAGCUAAGGUGACCAACUGCCCGCCUGCCUGGAACUUCGUGUGUUCCUUGGAUUUGAGACUUUCAGUGCUAAAACUGGAAGAGUCUUGGGCACAAACAGAGAUGAGUUUUUCCCAUGGAGAUGAGGUCCAGGAUAGAGGCAGAGGCCAGAUAACAUAGGGCCUCUCAUUCUCCUAGUAGCUCAGAUAGAGUUCAACCUCCUGCAGUGCACUGCAGGCUCUGCCUGGUCUCACCUCCACUCCCAUGCCCCAGCUCCUCUCCUGCUGGUAAGUCCACCUCUAUUCAUUCCACAGGGUCUCUAGUUCUUGCCUCAAAGCCCUUUGCUUUCCUUUUCUUUGCCUGGAGAGCUCUCUGGCCCUGAUUAUUCUCAGAGCCCACUUCUUCUUGUCAUUCAGGUCUUACCUCAAAUGGUCCCAUGGAAUUAGGCUCUCAGGCCCUGGCCAUCACGGCACUAUCUGUGUGUGAGUAGGUGCUUCCCAUCCUUGUCUGCUAAGUCACAGGCCUACAAGAGUGCCCCAAACAUGAUGGGCCCCAAUUAAUAUCAUCCCAUAAAUUACUGAACCCCUUUCCAGCCCCACUUUUCUCUAUUGGUGCACAAGCGUUCAUCCCCAUUCACAUUCGCCUACAUGCUCUUCCCUGAACACAUCCUGAUUCUUCCUCUCCAUUCUGCCUGAAAUACCUUCCCUCUAAUUCCUUCAAUAUUGGCUAUUGGCUGAAAUUCUUCCAGAAGGAACUUCUGCAAAGCCUUCCUGGCUCCUUGAUGGAUUGGCUUUUUGGCUUAUGCCUGUAAUCCUACCACUUUGGGAAGCUGAGGCAGGAGGAUUGCUUGAGCCCAGGAGUGCAAGACCAACCUGAGCAACAUUGUAGAACGUCAUCUCUGCAAAAACAAACAAACAAACAAAAAUUAGCUGGGUAUGGUGGCAUGCGCUUGAAGUCCCAGCUACUAAGGAGGCUGAGGUGGGAGGAUUGCUUGAUACUGGGAGGUAGAGACUGCGGUGAGCUGUGAUUACAUCACUGCACUCCAGCCUGGGAAACAGAGCAAGACCUUUUCUCAAAAAAAUUAAAAAAAAAAAAAAAAAAAAGCUAAGUUAACAUGCCCAAUCCCUUCACAUACUUAUUUUUAUGGUGAGAACAUUUGAAAUUUACUCUCUUAGCAAUUUUGAAAUGUGCAACACAUUAUUAACUGUAGUCCCCAUGCUGUACAAUAGAGCUCAAAAACUUAUUCCCUCUAGCUGAAAUUUUGUACCCAUUGACCAACAUCAUUCCCACCUUGCCCUUUAACAAACAACUAGUGUGUUCCUGCCAGCCAGGCACUUUGCUCCUUACUGCUUCGUGUUUAUCCUGUAUGUCCACCUUUACAGGACAGGACAGUCCAGAGAGAACCAACAGCCUUUGCCUGAGCUCUGCUCCAGAGCUCCUCCAGCCCCGUGAUCAGGCACUAACUAUAACAACUGAACCGAUGGAAGUAAAUCCUACCCCAGCGGGGCACUGGCAGGAUUAAAGCAGGUAGUGGAUAGCGUCUUGCACAGUACCAUAUACAGAGUAGGAUCUCCUACACGUGGUAGGAUUCUUGACUUGAAUAGAAACAGAACCCACAUAGCACAGCAAUAAGAAAAAUAAGAUUCUGCAGACACCAAUGCUAGUCUCAGGGCUGCCACUAACUAGGUAUGUGACUUUGACCAUGCCCCUUCACCUCCUGUCCGUGAUUUUCUCGCGUGUAAAAUGAGGCACUAUUGUUUAGAUUUCUCAAGGGCUUCCAGCUGUAACAUUCUACAGUCCUGUGCAUUGCUGGAAUUGCAGGGGAACAGGGGAGGGAGGGUAAACCUCACAUGUUCAUGUUUUAAAAUUUCAAAUGAAGAAAGUUGUUGUUUUCUCCUCUUCCCUUCUCCCCAGUGGUAGCAAACAAGCAAUAAAUAUGGAAAUCCUAAAAGCCAGAGAAAAUAGUGAGUGUUCUCCAUUUUGCUGACAAAGUACACAGAGGCUGCGUCACAAAAUGAAUGUGCUUAUCCCUCUUGUGUGCUGCAUGAAUUCCUCCCGGCCCGAGCAUGGCUGGACCACUCACAGGACAGCUGUCCUUUGUUCUGUCAGUACAGGGUCCCCUGCUUGUGUGCUGACCAGCGCAGCACUGGGUGACUACUGCAGAGUGAAGGUGUGUGUUCCUUCUCCAGGGAGCCCCGAACAGAUGGAAUCCAUGCUUAGUGCAGUGACUGGAAGGAGGUAGAAACAAUGCAGGUGAAUUGGGAGGGCAGUGCCGGGAGACAGCGGAAGAAAAGAGAAAAACAAAGGCAAGGUAGAGCAUUCCAGCUGCAGGCAGCCAAAGCCUCUCCUGCCAAGGGACAGGUAGCUGGUUUUCAAAAUUGUGCAGACAUACUCAGUAAUUGCUCUGCACCAUCUUGUCUGCCUUUUAAGCACAAGCGAGGAUUGCAUCUGACUCCCAUUACCAGCAAAUGUCCCAGGAAGGACCUUAAGUAAUAAGAGCCUUUUGAAGCUGAUCUUCAGAAGCCUCUUCCCAAGAUGGCACCUGGGAGGAGGUGUGGUUGUUUAGCGGCUCUGUCAGCCCCGGACGCACAAGUUGCUUAUACCCUGCGCAGCUGUCUAUUGUGGGUGCCCCACCGGAAGGUGGCAGCUCUUCCUCAGGCUCACGUGUUGCUUUCAGUCAGGUCUAUGUUACUGCCCCUGCUUGGGAGACAGGCAGACAAGCUCUCUGGUCUUUAUCAGGGGUUGUCAAGAUGGGGCCUCAAAUUCACUCAUUUCCUUUUUGUUUUUCAAUUUCCCAUGUUUCACACAUAUCCAACUCAAUUGUUUUUUUUUUUUUUUUAAACUUCACUCUAGAUGAAGAAGCUCAUCCCUGUGGACCUUUCUCUUGAAUGCCUACUAUGAGUCACUCAGCAAGAGAGGCACCCAGCUCCCUCAAGGUCUGCAGUGCCUCGGAGGUAUUCAUACUGAGCUUUCAUCCCCCAGGUCGGUGAUGUUUAGGAUGAUGAGGGUGGUCUGAGUUCACGGGCACCAGAACAGCCUCAGGCUGGCUGGAAGCCAGGUGUAACACUGGGCAGAGGGAUGCCACUCACCUUUCCUCUGGGCUGGGUCCCCCCGGGCAUUAUUUAUAUGACUCCGCACACCUAAAGACCACCCUUUCUCCCUUUUCCUACGCAAAUCUUGUACAUUCUUCCAGGCCCACUUCCCUCCAUGACACAGUCUCUGAACAUAUUAUUCCUCACGGAUGAUCACCUUCUUAACUCCAUCCAGACGUGUGCCUCUGUCUCACUAUUUAGCGUUGUCCUAGAAAAUACUGAGUAAUUGUUUCAUGCGUAUACAUCAUGUUUCCUCAAGUAGAAUCUACCUUUAUACAAUCAAAAGUGUCAGAUUGAUGGAUGAGUAGCAGGUAAAUUUCUGAUAAAGAGAAUUAAAUUAAGUGUUAAUUGUAGAAUCUAGUGAUGGGUUUAUGGGUCUUAACUGUAAAAAUCUUUCAUCUUUUCUGUAUGUUUGAUAACUUUCAUAUAAAAAUAAUAAAAACUUUAGUUUAUCUUCUAUGUAAUUACAUGUUUACUUAAC
rnacentral:lncRNA from 1 species